rnacentral:rRNA from 1 species
AAUGCCUAGGAAUCUGCCUGGUAGUGGGGGAUAACGUUCGGAAACGGACGCUAAUACCGCAUACGUCCUACGGGAGAAAGCAGGGGACCUUCGGGCCUUGCGCUAUCAGAUGAGCCUAGGUCGGAUUAGCUAGUUGGUGAGGUAAUGGCUCACCAAGGCGACGAUCCGUAACUGGUCUGAGAGGAUGAUCAGUCACACUGGAACUGAGACACGGUCCAGACUCCUACGGGAGGCAGCAGUGGGGAAUAUUGGACAAUGGGCGAAAGCCUGAUCCAGCCAUGCCGCGUGUGUGAAGAAGGUCUUCGGAUUGUAAAGCACUUUAAGUUGGGAGGAAGGGCAUUAACCUAAUACGUUAGUGUUUUGACGUUACCGACAGAAUAAGCACCGGCUAACUCUGUGCCAGCAGCCGCGGUAAUACAGAGGGUGCAAGCGUUAAUCGGAAUUACUGGGCGUAAAGCGCGCGUAGGUGGUUUGUUAAGUUGGAUGUGAAAUCCCCGGGCUCAACCUGGGAACUGCAUUCAAAACUGACUGACUAGAGUAUGGUAGAGGGUGGUGGAAUUUCCUGUGUAGCGGUGAAAUGCGUAGAUAUAGGAAGGAACACCAGUGGCGAAGGCGACCACCUGGACUAAUACUGACACUGAGGUGCGAAAGCGUGGGGAGCAAACAGGAUUAGAUACCCUGGUAGUCCACGCCGUAACGAUGUCAACUAGCCGUUGG